rnacentral:rRNA from 1 species
GACGAACGCUGGCGGCGUGCUUAACACAUGCAAGUCGAACGGAAAGGCCCUGCUUUUGUGGGGUGCUCGAGUGGCGAACGGGUGAUUAACACGUGAGUAACCUGCCCUUGACUUUGGGAUAACUUCAGGAAACUGGGGCUAAUACCGGAUAUGAGCUCCUGCUGCAUGGUGUGGGUUGGAAAGUUUCGGCGGUUGGGGAUGGACUCGCGGCUUAUCAGCUUGUUGGUGGGGUAGUGGCUUACCAAGGCUUUGACGGGUAGCCGGCCUGAGAGGGUGACCGGCCACAUUGGGACUGAGAUACGGCCCAGACUCCUACGGGAGGCAGCAGUGGGGAAUAUUGCACAAUGGGCGGAAGCCUGAUGCAGAAACGCCGCGUGCGGGAUGACGGCCUUCGGGUUGUAAACCGCUUUCGCCUGUGACGAAGCGUGAGUGACGGUAAUGGGUAAAGAAGCACCGGCUAACUACGUG